rnacentral:rRNA from 1 species
UACGUAGGGGGCGAGCGUUGUCCGGAAUUAUUGGGCGUAAAGAGCGUGUAGGCGGUUCGGUAAGUCUGCCGUGAAAACCUGGGGCUCAACCCCGGGCGUGCGGUGGAUACCGCCGGGCUAGAGGGUGGUAGAGGCGAGUGGAAUUCCCGGUGUAGCGGUGAAAUGCGCAGAUAUCGGGAGGAACACCAGUAGCGAAGGCGGCUCGCUGGGCCAUUCCUGACGCUGAGACGCGAAAGCUAGGGGAGCGAACAGG